rnacentral:rRNA from 1 species
AGUGAACGCUGGCGGUAGGCCUAACACAUGCAAGUCGAACGGCAGCACAGUAAGAGCUUGCUCUUACGGGUGGCGAGUGGCGGACGGGUGAGGAAUACAUCGGAAUCUACUUUUUCGUGGGGGAUAACGUAGGGAAACUUACGCUAAUACCGCAUACGACCUACGGGUGAAAGCAGGGGAUCUUCGGACCUUGCGCGAUUGAAUGAGCCGAUGUCGGAUUAGUUAGUUGGCGGGGUAAAGGCCCACCAAGGCGACGAUCCGUAGCUGGUCUGAGAGGAUGAUCAGCCACACUGGAACUGAGACACGGUCCAGACUCCUACGGGAGGCAGCAGUGGGGAAUAUUGGACAAUGGGCACAAGCCUGAUCCAGCCAUACCGCGUGGGUGAAGAAGGCCUUCGGGUUGUAAAGCCCUUUUGUUGGGAAAGAAAAGCAGCAGGUUAAUACCCCGCUGUUCUGACGGUACCCAAAGAAUAAGCACCGGCUAACUUCGUG